rnacentral:rRNA from 1 species
GUCCACACAGUAAACGAUGAAUACUCGCUGUUUGCGAUAUACAGUAAGCGGCCAAGCGAAAGCAUUAAGUAUUCCACCUGGGGAGUACGCCGGCAACGGUGAAACUCAAAGGAAUUGACGGGGGCCCGCACAAGCGGAGGAACAUGUGGUUUAAUUCGAUGAUACGCGAGGAACCUUACCCGGGCUUAAAUUGCAUUUGAAUAAUCUGGAAACAGGUUAGCCGCAAGGCAAAUGUGAAGGUGCUGCAUGGUUGUCGU